rnacentral:rRNA from 1 species
UACGUAGGGUGCAAGCGUUAAUCGGAAUUACUGGGCGUAAAGCGUGCGCAGGCGGCUAUGCAAGACAGAUGUGAAAUCCCCGGGCUCAACCUGGGAACUGCAUUUGUGACUGCAUGGCUGGAGUACGGCAGAGGGGGAUGGAAUUCCGCGUGUAGCAGUGAAAUGCGUAGAUAUGCGGAGGAACACCGAUGGCGAAGGCAAUCCCCUGGGCCUGCACUGACGCUCAUGCACGAAAGCGUGGGGAGCAAACAGG